CAGUAGCCACGGUAAUACGAAGGGUGCAAGCGUUACUCGUAAUUACUGGGCGUAAAGCGUGCGUAGGUGGUGGUUUAAGUCCGUUGUGAAAGCCCUGGGCUCAACCUGGGAAUUGCAGUGGAUACUGGGUCACUAGAGUGUGGUAGAGGAUAGUGGAAUUUCCGGUGUAGCAGUGAAAUGCGUAGAGCUCGGGAGGAACAUCAGUGGCGAAGGCGGCCAUCUGGGACAACACUGACGCUGAAGCACGAAAGCGUGGGGAGCAAACAGGAUUAGAUACCCGGGUAGUCCCUGUCUCUUAUAC
rnacentral:rRNA from 1 species